CGUUCCACGCUGUGGGAGGUUUGUUCAUUUGCUCUUUGCAAUAAAGCUUGCUGCUGCUCACUCUUUGGGUCCAGACUGUCUUUAUGAGCUGUAACACUCACCGGGAAGGUCUGCAGCUUCACUCCUGAAGCCAAGGAGACCACGAACCCACCGGGAGGAAGGAACAACUACAGACACGCCGGCUUAAGGGCUGUAACACUCACUGCGAAGGUCCGCAGCUUCACUCUUGAGCCAGCGAGACCACGAACCCACCAGAAGGAAGAAACUCCAAACACAUCCGAACAUCAGAAGGAAAAAACUGCAGACACGCCGCCUUUAAGAACUGCAACACCGCGAGGGUCCGCGGCUUCAUUCUUGAAGUCAGUGAGACCAAGAACCCACCAAUUCCAGACACGCUACCAAAGGCAGAGGGGAGCUCCUAGACAAAGAUAUUUUGCUUACAAAUGGAACACAUCAAAUCAAGCUUUUGUGAACUUGAGGGAAGAAACAAAGAAUAUGAAGCCUAAAUGGAAGUGUCAGGAAAUGGUCGCCUUGCGGACAAGGAAACAGCAGCCUGGAAGGCCAGGAGAGGGCAGACUACCCACCUAACCCUCUGCAGAAUUUUGUGUGGACCCUGGAGACCAGAAACUAACUUCUCCUGCAGAGACAAGGUCUUGCUCUGUCACCCUGGCUGGUCUUGAACUCCUGGCUUCAAGCAAUUCAUCCAUCUCAGCCUCCUGAGUAGCUGGGAUUACAG
rnacentral:lncRNA from 1 species